rnacentral:rRNA from 1 species
AGUGAACGCUGGCGGUAGGCCUAGCACAUGCCAGUCGAACGGCAGCACAGUAAGAGCUUGCUCUUACGGGUGGCGAGUGGCGGACGGGUGAGGAAUACAUCGGAAUCUACUUUUUCGUGGGGGAUAACGUAGGGAAACUUACGCUAAUACCGCAUACGACCUACGGGUGAAAGCAGGGGAUCUUCGGACCUUGCGCGAUUGAAUGAGCCGAUGUCGGAUUAGCUAGUUGGCGGGGUAAAGGCCCACCAAGGCGACGAUCCGUAGCUGGUCUGAGAGGAUGAUCAGCCACACUGGAACUGAGACACGGUCCAGACUCCUACGGGAGGCAGCAGUGGGGAAUAUUGGACAAUGGGCGCAAGCCUGAUCCAGCCAUACCGCGUGGGUGAAGAAGGCCUUCGGGUUGUAAAGCCCUUUUGUUGGGAAAGAAAAGCAGCAGGUUAAUACCCCGCUGUUCUGACGGUACCCAAAGAAUAAGCACCGGCUAACUUCGCG